rnacentral:pre_miRNA from 1 species
UNUGUACUCCCUCCGUCCCAAAAUUCUUGUCUUAAAUUUGUCUAAAUACGGAUGUAUCUAGUUACAUUUUAGUGUUAGAUACAUCCGUAUCUAAACAAAUGUAAGACAAGAAUUUUGGGACGGAGGGAAUACUAC